CCUACGGGUGACUGCAGUAGGGAAUCUUCCACAAUGGACGAAAGUCUGAUGGAGCAACGCCGCGUGAGUGAAGAAGGGUUUCGGCUCGUAAAGCUCUGUUGGUAGUGUAGAACGAAAGAGGUAGUAACUGGCCUUUAUUUGACGGUAAUUACUUAGAAAGUCCCGGCUAAAUACGUGCCAGCAGCCGCGGUAAUACGUAGGUGGCAAGCGUUGUCCGGAUUUAUUGUGCGUAAAGGGAGUGCAGGCGGUUCAAUAAGUCUGAUGUGAAAGCCUUCGGCUCAACCGCAGAAUUGCAUCAGAAACGGUUGAACUUGAGUGCAGAAGAGGAGAGUGGAACUCCAUGUGUAGCGGUGGAAUGUGUAGAUAUAUGGAAGAACACCAGUUGCGAAGGCGGCUCUCUGGUCUGCAACUGACGCGGAGGCUCGAAAGCAUGGGUAGCGAACAGGAUUAGAUACCCCAGUAGUC
rnacentral:rRNA from 1 species